UGGAAUGGGAUGCGCUGGAGAAGCUCUGGACAGGGCAGGCAGCUACCAUUAUGCACUUACUGAAUCCCCUGGAGCCCCAAAGGAAGAGGGUGUGUCUCCACAGAGGGGCUUCCACCGAUCUGGGCCAGACACCGACAGGAUAAGAGGUGUCUGAGUAAGCACUAGACGUUGGCUGUGUCACUCCAGUCGGUGAUGUGAGUCAUGAGGCUGAACAAUGCCAUGGGACAAACAGAAGACACACCGGGCUCACAAAUCUCUUUCUUCUCGGCGUGGCAUGACUCAUAGCCGCCAUUUUCCAGACAGGAGCACCCACGGAGUUUCGAGGCCUUUCUCCCCGGAGACUGUGGUAUUCUCCUGCAACCCGGAGGGGAGCCCUUUGAACCCAACUGCCCUGCAGUGCAGCUGGAGCUCCGAGAAGUUGAAUGGGGUCUGCACGUGCAGAGGUGCUGCGGGAGAGGGGCGGGGAUCAGGCGUCCAGCCCUGUGUACUUACCCACUUACCGCAGUGUCUCCAGCCUGGAGCUGCUGGGCGUGUUUCUGCAAGCGACCAAUGAGCUGCUCUGCCGUCCCAGAGAUGGGGGUGAUUGCUUGGGACUCUUGGUUUGAAGCUCCAUCUGUCUCCCCUCAAAGAGCCGGGUCAGCAAGUGGAAGUGAUGAGGGAAAGCGGGAGAGUGCGUGCACCAUGAUGAAUCCUGAGCAAGAAAAACAGGGAAGCAGAGAAGCCAAGGCGCAUGCACAGGAUGAAGCUCCCCCAGCCACUUCUGGCUGGACCCUUAGACCCAUGGCAGGACGUGGUCACAGAGUCAGGUAGGAGUGGACCAGCUUCUGAGACAUGAGCUGCAGAGCAAUAGGGAACAUGGGGUAGGGUGUGGAGAGGUUGCAUGCUUCAGGUAAGUCUUCUGGGAGCCUCACUGAGAGAAAGGUCAAGGUGAACAAAGCCAAGAGCUGUCUGCCUUCUCCCUGGCAGCGGCUGAGAAGGAGAUCCCUGCAGCCCUGCUGCACACCCCCACCCCAUUCCAAAGCUUUCUGGGAAGCGUCUGGCACUUCGAGGAGGGGGGACCGAGGACUUGCAUUCGGGCCCGGCUUCCUUCUCUGAGCUCCAGGUCCUUCUUACAUGAAAAGGCCCCUGUGAGUACCCCGUGGGAACACCCAUGUGAAAAGGCUUUGCUCCUGUGUGAUAGUGACCAAUUUGAAAUAUUUGUGAAAAUACAUCCUCUUCACACCCUGAAUGGUAUAUGUAGCUCAGGGGGUUGAGUGUUUUCCUGCAAACCUGAAGUUCACCGGUUCCAUUCCUGGUCAAAGCACACGCCAGGGCUGCAGGCCGGGUCCCCAGUCGGGGACGUGGAAGAGGCGACCAGUGGAUGUUUCUCUCCCAUGUCGGUGUUUCCCUCCCUCUUCCUCC